CGGCUGUAAGCACGCUGCUGCAGCUAACGUUUUCUAAUGCGCAAUGGAGACAUCUCUAGUAUAUUCAACUACUGCAAAUUAUAAAAUGCUUCAAAAGUCAGCCAUCUAUAACUUUAAAAAAAGGGGGAGGUUUUUUUUUUUUUUUUUAUCUGAGUCAGAUUUUUUUUCGCACGAACCUUUUUAUUCCUUUUUUUUUCGAUGCUGGUGAUCAAAUACUUUUUUCAAUAUUUAACACUAUAAUGUAUGGGGAAACUCUUGAUUCAGAAUAUUUUUUUUUAUCAUCUGUAUGACCUUUUUUUUUUUUUUUUUUUUAUCAAAUUGGGGAUCGGAAUAUUUCCAUUCCCACCCCGACUCCCCUUUUGAAGUCAAAUGGUUGUUCCCUUACCGCUACAAAAAUAGUCCAAAAAUUUGAAAUCAGUUCUACUAAUGAACAUUUAAAUAUCAUAUAGUUUAC
rnacentral:lncRNA from 1 species